rnacentral:rRNA from 1 species
GAUGAACGCUGGCGGCGUGCCUAAUACAUGCAAGUCGAGCGGUAAGACUCUCACAGUUUACUUAAGCGGAGACAGGUCGCGAAAAUUGUUUACAAUUUUCGCAUCUUCAUCGGAGAGAUGAGCGUCCGGACUACCUACUAAUGAAGUAGAGUCGGAGAAGGGAAGCUUAAGUAGAGCGUGAGAGUACACGAGCGGCGGACGGCUGAGUAACGCGUAGGAACGUACCCCAAAGUGAGGGAUAAGCACCAGAAAUGGUGUCUAAUACCGCAUGUGGUCUAAGGAUUAAAGCUUCGGCGCUUUGGGAACGGCCUGCGUAUGAUUAGUUUGUUGGUGAGGUAAUGGCUCACCAAGACUACGAUCAUUAGCUGGUCUGAGAGGAUGAUCAGCCAGACUGGGACUGAGAACGGCCCAGACUCCUACGGGAGGCAGCAGUAGGGAAUUUUUCC